rnacentral:tRNA from 1 species
GGCCUAUUCGUCUAUCGGUUAGGACAUAAGAUUUUCAUUCUUAUAAGGGCGGUUCGAUUCCGCCAUAGGUUA